CGUGUAUACAAUACACAUACACAUCUACACAUAUGAGUUCUGUGUGGGAAGUUUGGCAUUGAUUGUAGGUCAAUGGUUCCCAACCUUUUUUUGACCAAGGGCCACUUUAACCAGGGCCCACUGUGACCAGAGAUUACUUGAACAGGGACCACUUUGACUAGGGACCACUUGACCAGGGACCACUUUGACCAGAGACCUCUUUGACCAGAUACCACUUGAACAGGGCCCACUUUGACCAGGGGUCACUUGACCAAGGACCACUUUGACCAGGGACCACUUGAACAGGGCCCACUUUGACCAGAGGCCAUUUUCACCAGAGACCACUUGAACAAGAACCACUUAGACCAGGGACCACUUUGACCAGGGCACUUGAACAGGGACUGCUUUGACCAGGGACUACUUUGACCAAGGACCACUUUGACCAGGGCCUGCAUUGACCAGGGCCCACUUGACCAAGGACCAGUUUGACCAGGCCUCACUUUGACCAGGGCCCACUUGACCAAGGACCAGUUUGACCAGGGCCUGCAUUGACCUGGGCCCACUUGACCAAGGACCACUUUGACCAGGCCUCACUUUGACCAGGUCCCACUUGACCAAGGACCACUUUGACCUGAGACCACUCUCAAACAUUUGUACCAAAAGGGUUACGUUUUUGGUCAACUUUAGAUUAGGUUUGGUUAUUUGGGGUGCUGAUUCAGAAAAUUGCAUUGGAUAGACCACAUCAGCUCUAGUUUCUGAUACAGAACAUAUGCCAUCCAGUAGUUGUCAUCUGCUCCCCCACAGAAAAACAUAUUUAAUAAUCUACACCUGAUGUGGUCUAUCCAAUGCAGUGGUCAGCUCUGAGGAAAGGAGCGGGGAAAAAAUUAAUAAAAUAAAUACUCCAUAAAUGAAACACCUGGGAUUUGUAGUUGGGUGAGGCACCAGCACACUUUGUUUAAAGACCUUGUACAAUUACACCUCCCAGGAUUGUGAAGCAAGGAGCCAUGGCAGUUAAAUCAGAACCAUACAGCAUUAAUUCUACAGUUGUUGCUAUCAUUAGCUGUCAUCCAGUUGACAUGUGGGUCUAACUAGUAAAGGGAUGUUCAGGCCAUGUACUGCACUUAUGGCAACCCCAUUCAUGUAGGGCCUCCAAGUUACACUGUUAUCAGCCCAAGUCCUGCAGACACAGGGCUGUGGCUCCCUUGAUUGAGUCUAUCCAUCUACCAUGUGGCCAUCCCUUCUUCCCAUUGCCUUCUACUUUGCCAGAUAUUACUGCCUUUUCUAGUGAGCCAUGUCUUCUCAUGAUAUGGCCAAAGAAGGACAGCCCCAGUAGAGUCAUUUUGGCACCUAUCACUGGUUAAGGGGGAGCAAGGCAGUCUGCUAUUGCUUUCAUAUCCUGAAAGACCUAACUGGCCAUAGGAUGCAUUGCAGCAGAACUGUUCUUUUCAUUCUAUUUCUAUGGCACCAUUACUGUGCUUUUGCUGUGUGUGUUCAAGUUAUUUCCAAACUUAAGGUGACUCUAUCUUAGGGUUUUUCUGAAAAAGGUUUGUUCCGAAGAGGCUUGUCAUUGCCGUCUUCUGAGGCUGAGAGAGAGUGACUUACUUAAGGUCAGAGGAUUUCAUGGCUGAGUAUGAAUUUGAAACCUGGUCUCCAGCGUCCAGUGCUUAAACCACUGCACAAUGUGACACUUUUCAAGUACAAUAAAAGUGUCCUGCCCUCAGGCUUGGAAUCAUAUUUAGACAUGACAUUAGAGGGCCUAAGCAACCUGCCUCUUCUUUUUUCCUUCCAAUACAUGGGAAAAUGCUUCAUCAGAUCCAACAUGAGAUGUUGGUGUACAUAACUCUUACAGUCACUUCCAACUAUAGUGAGCCCUUGGUACCUGUUAGGGUUUGGUUCCAGGACCUUCCAUGGAUAUCAAAAUUCAUGAUUGCUCAAGUCCCCUUAUAUACUGGCAUAGUAAAAUAGUAUUCCUUAUAUAAUGUGUUAAAAUCAAGGUUUGCUUUUUGGAAUUUAAAAAAUGUUGAAUCUGUGGAUAUGGAAGGACAAUUGUAUAUGACUGUAUUCUUUACCUGAGAUCUAUAUUAAUUCCUACUCAAAACCUUUUCUCUUGCCGCAAUGUGUGGUUAGCAUUUCACCCUUUGUUCACACACAUACCCAGGUCCUGACCAAGAAAUGCAAAUAAUUGGCAAGCCUUUGGAAUCUAUUUCGUUUUAUUAGAACUAACUGUAUUACUGUAUAAUCAUUUCACAAACGUGAUAACUGCAUACCUGUUAGACGACUUGUGUUGUGUAGCAGUUGCCUGGCAACUGGUGUGUUUACCAGUCAUCAGUGCGGAAAGGUAGGAAAGUAGCUGACAGAAACAUGGAGGAUGGGCUGUGUCACAAUUAACAGUGUUAAACUAUAACACAUUAAUUUGAGAGGUAACAAGGCCAUAUCAGUAUUAGUUUUCUUUAAAUUUCAUACAUGUUAAUUUUUUUACUUUAUAGUUUAUUCAGUAAAAUUUACAGAUUAGUUCAAAAAUAUUGUUUUGUGAAGUUGUAUAGUGCAAUGAAGGAGUCAGUGUGGUAUAGCAGUUUGAAUGUUGGUACUAUGGGUAUAGUGUUCCCUCCCUACUUUAUGGUUCACUUUUUGCUCCCUCACUGCUUUGUGUUUUUUUUCUGAGAGGUGCGCAUGCGCAAAAGGUGCCAGUUUCCCCAAGCCACUCUAGAUGCCAAUGAGAGGGAGGGCGCAUGCACAAAAGGGAAACUGGCAGGCGCCGGAGAGGAAGAAGCGCAGGAAGAAGACGAGCAUGUGGUGAGACAGUGCCCCCUGCAGAAGAACGGGAACAAGCAAAUCAGCAAGAAAGACAGGAGACCUUUACAGAACUCCUCCUUCUCAUACGAAGAUGGCAGCAAUGGGACAUUUAUUUCUGCAAAUGCAAGGCUAUUGUUUUGAAAUUGCAGCAUCUGUUCACCUAUAUCAAACAGUUCACCUAUUUCAUACAGAAAAAUCUACCUUCCCCAAAUUUGGCCAAAAGUGUGAAAAGGCCAACGGUUUUAGACUGCACUCCAGCAGGUAUGUUCGAACGAAAUAGAAAAUGAAUGUGAAAUUCAUUAUCUAUACCUGCAUCUAUAUGUAUCAUUCCACCUAUCCACUCAAACACAUACACACGCAUAUUGAAUAUGUUUGUCCUGUUUGUUCAGCCAGCAACUUACCUCCUCAAACUUAUGGAUUUGGCGGAUGAAGAAAUCCCCAUAGCGGCGAGCAACUUUUGUGUCUGCAAUAUGGAUCAUAUCCUGCCAAGAGAGAGUCAAAGGUAAGAGGCCAGGAGGAAUUCACAGGGCAGUGUUGGGGAUUAAAUUUUCUCCAGCCUAGAAUAAGGGCUAAUUUUCAUGUUUUCUUCAUGCGAAAACAACAGGUAGAACAAUGUGUUUUAACCACCAUAACCUCUACUUGAGACAUGAUGCUAUUCAUGAAUCUAACACUUUUUUUUCGUGUCAGGAGCGACUUGAGAAACUGCAAGUUGUUUCUGGUGUGAGAGAAUUGGCCAUCUGCAAGGACAUUGCCCAGGGGACGCCCAGAUGUUUUGAUGUUUUACCAUUCUUGUGGGAGGUUUCUCUCAUGUUCCCGCAUGGGGAGCUGGAGCUGACAGAGGGAGCUCAUCCACAAUCUCCCCAGAUUCGAACCAGCAACCUACAGGUCAACAACCCAACAUUCCUGCCGGCAUAAGGGUUUAACCCACUGUGCCAUCGGGGGCUCCUACUGAAUCCAACUACCCUGAGGUUAUAUUAAAAGGGAGGAGAUGCAACACAUGCAGGCAGGCUAUGCACAUCUGUCUCCUAUCUGCACUGCAAUAAUAAUUAAGCAGACAAAAACAGGAAUGAUUUUUACGGUCUAUAUGUACACUUACACUAUCCAUUAAAAGAAUGAUGCAUUUUCAAGAGGUGAAUCAUUAGGGAAAAUGGGGCUAAUGAGAAUAGCUGUAUCUGCAACAGAUUCCCAAAGGAGAAGGAGAGAACAGAACUAAGGCAAGUCAGAAAAAGUAGUAUGCUUUUCUUUCAUUUUUUAGGAGAGCAUGACCUACGCAUCCCAUUUUCUGAACUUACCAGGGAAACAAGAAACCAUGGAUUAUAGCGUAUGCUAAUGAAAUGAAUGACUUUUGCCAAAAGUUACCAUUCAGUCGUUAUGGAGUAUCUAGAAAAUUCCUAGAAUGGCAUCCUUCAAUACCAUGCAGUGUGACUAGCCUAAACAGUAUAAGCUGCCCAUAAUGAGUAGAGAGGAGUGAACUGACAGAGGAAACUAGACAGACCUUGUCAAUGUAGAAGUCCACCUCGGAGGCCGACUGGAACUCCCCAUCCAAGGCAGAGAUGCCACUUGUCCAAACAAGGUUCUUCAUUUUGUGCUUGAAGACCAGCAAUUGGAUGCGGAACUCCUGUUCUGUGAGAUCCAAGAAGCCAGCAAGCUUGGCCACGGGCAUCGUGGUGUAGAGCUUGAGGAAGCUGCGGAUGGUGGACAGCUGGGCCUGCUGCUGGACUUCGCCAGCAAAUACCUUCAGUUGCUGCAGGAAAGGCUCUUUGUGGUAGUUGGGGUGCAUAUUGUCAUAGUUGGGGACCACAGGGGAAAGAAACUUGGGACAUGCAUAGCUGAACAGCUCCUCAUACACCUGAGGGUCGCCCUUUUGCAUACGUAGCAUCUUGUCUCCAUACUUCUCUCGUAGCUGCAGGUGAAUGCUUUCGUCUAUGCGCAUAGGGUACAUAGUGAGAGCAAUGGCCAAAAGGGCAUGCAUCUGCUCAUUCUGCUUGUUAAUCUGCAACACACCAAGAGAUCUCAUUAAGAACAUGCAAUUCAAAAUACUUGUCUGACAUAUAAAAACAAAAUCAGCACAGAAGGAAGACAAAGCAACUGUAUUUUCAACUUAAUUUUUAUUUGUGCUACAAGUUUACAGGUGGGUUUUAAAGAGAAAAACAACAGUGAAACUAAGUCUGAUUUUUCAGAAUUAAAACAGAAAGCUUAUAUAAGCCAUUGCAAUUUUUGACAGAAUGCCAUCUUGCUAAUAUACCUUAGCAAAAAAGUACACCAGGCUCCAAAGAUGAGAUUCACUAUAUUAAUAAACAGGACAAACAUUUGAUCAGAUCAGAACUAAGAACUACUACCAACUCUGAAUCGCAUAAUUGCAGAUAAAAGCAGAGCAACACCACUAGUGUUACUGAGGUCAAACUGGGCAAAAACAAUCCUUGAAGACUGAAUUCCAACAUAUCCGGGACACAUAAUACAGAGCCAGGAAGAAACUGCCUCAUGGAAAACGUAACCAGUUACAUUCUAGAUGAAUUGGAUGUGGGUGCUUAGAAGAUCAUUUAAGCCUGGAACACGAUUAACCAGGGUACUAUUUAGUAUCUGCAUCUUUAGCAAUCUGUUUCAACUACUGGAAGGUAGAAGAAAAAAGGAGAUGUAUUUCUGUGCAGGCUUGCAUCACUACAAGUCCAGUUAAAUAGUUCUGGGUAGGCACAGGAAUAACUGGGCAGUAUGUUUCAAAGGAAGAACCAGCAGUGUCAGUAAAGGAGUUACAAACAGAAGGGCUUACAAAGACCUUUAUGUAGGACAAAAUGACUCAAAUGCUUUGUACCAUUUCGUAUUUGUACGUUGUCCUCUGGAACAUGCUCUUGGUUCUCUGAAUAUACAAGAGGAUAUUGGCAAAGACACGAAUGGCAUCUUGGUAGCGUCGCAUCAUAAGGUAUGCAAAACCCACAUAGUAAUAGGUAGUGACCUGACAUUCUGGCACUCGUGAGUACAUACUCUGGAAAGAGAAGGAGAAAAAUUGUGAGAAGUCUGUUUUCUUUUCAAACAAUGAUUGAGAACAGUCCCUUCAUAUUGUCAAAGGAUGCUGUCCCAAGUUUCUUCUACUACGAAGAGCAGGUCACAAGACCAAAGACCUUUUCUGUGAUUUUCUAGAACAGAACACCUAUGCAUCUUUUAAAAUCAGGAUUAGGCUUUCAAUACACCAUUGUAUUCUAACAAAGGCAGUCAUGUUAGUCUGUCACAGCAAUAAAGCAGGGCUGGGCAACAUGCAGUGCUUCACAUUUUACAUUUUAAAUUAUAUAUUAAGCUUUAACAGGUUUAUUACAAGCAUCAUAGAACUAAGUCUGGAAGGUGUCAGAAAUUAUUCUUUGAUUUCAUGUGGCUCAUUUUAGACUCCUACAGCCCAAAUGGAAAGAAGGCACAACUGGUUGUCUCAAUGUGGUUUGUUUGUAUGGAGACAAUUUUCAUGCUAUAUUUGAAAUAUGAUGUUAAGGUUUCUGAUUUUUUUUAAAGCGUAAUAGGGGAACAAGGAGAAAGUUAUGAUUGUGGUCUACAUAAAAAUGUAUAUAAGAAUAGGUAGCAUAUAAAAUGGACAAUUUGCGUAUCAGUUUGGGGAAUAAAUGAAGUCCUAUUUCUUUUAGGUUGAUUUUCCUAUAAAUGAUACAUUUUGAUCCUGUAAAUGACAUUAGUAAAGACAAAGAUGAUAUUAUAGAGGAUAUUAAUGGAUGAACUAACACUGAGGUUCUUGAGAACACAAAUUAUAUGUUAAAAAAUGGCAGGACAAGAUAGGUGUCCUAAAAUAACAGUCUAUGAAGAACUCUUUUUAUAUUGUUAAAUGUCCCCCUCUAAUAGUCAGAAUUCUCAAAAUAACCAAACUUCUGAGCUACAUUUCUGAUUAUGCAUUAAACCAGACAUGGGCAAACUCCGGCUCUACAAGUGUUUUGGACUUCAACUCCCACAAUUCUUGGCCUCAGGCCCUUUCUUUUUUUCCCCUCAGCCACUUAGAAAAGGAAAGGAUCUGAGGCCAGGAAUUGUGGGAGCUGAAAUCCAAAACAUCUGGAGGGCCAAAGUUUGCCCAUGCCUGCAUUAAACUGAUGAAAAUGAUUGUCCCCAAUAUCCACAGAACGUACUUUCACAAAGAACUCUUAAAUGUGAAAGAAUUGAUCUAUAUUUGAUAUACACAACUGCAAAGAAAGAACUAUGUCAGGACAUCAUCAGCCACACACUACCUUUUGAAAAUCAUAAAGCACUAAAAAAUACCCUGGGAUAGAGAAACCUUACUUAUAAAAAUGUUCCCUUCUAACACUAUGGUAGGUGUUACCUUCUUGUUAAGCUCAAUGUUUUCCAGGACCUUGAUGGCUUGAUAAUAAUCACCCAGCAGCGAAUGGAGACGCAGCAGACCCACAAGACUGAAAUAGCCUAACAUCUUAUAGAGUGAAUGGCGGCCAUAUUCUCCAGCCACACUCUCAGGAUCACCUAGUGAGAGGAAAAAGAGAAGAAUAUGAAAAGACCUCAAUGAACUCUACCAAAGAAUUGGACAGAAGAGUGCAAUGUGUUAUCUUGAUCAGACCUCCCACAGAGAAUCAGCUAAUGUAUAAUAGUUUAACUGAAUUGCUACAUCAGGAACCGAAAGUAUACUAACAGGAUUUUCCCCAGAACUGAACAUACUACUAUUUUCACUACAGUACUGGAAGGGCAUAGUAACUUUUGAAGCAACUGCUACCCUCUGGAUUUGUGCUUGCAAAUUUGGGUUAAUUUUUUGUACUUGCAGUCACAGAAUCUAUUAGUACUAUGCGAAUGAAAGACUCCACUUGAUCUUACUUUUUUUGGACAUGCAAGUUAAAUAACAGCUUAUUUUGUGUUUUAGAACAUUACAAAUGGUUCAAAUUAGGCUUAUUUUAAAAUAUACAAACAACUACCAUCUAAAAUUAUAGACUUAAAGUUACAUUAAAGUUUUUUUUAAAACUGGAAAUCGUGCAAUGGAUUUUGGAACGGCUUUAGACAUUGCCUUUGGAUGAUGUGUCUCAUAUUCGAAUGUAUUUUAAUUAUGUUUUAUGUCUGUUUUAAUUUUUAUAAUUCUAUUUCAUGUCUGUGUUUUAUGUCUAAGGCACUGUAUAAGUGCCAUUUGUAAGCCACCUUGAGUCCCCCUCGGGGUAGAGAAAGGCAGGAUAUAAAUAUGGUAAAUAAAUAAAUACAGUAGAGUCUCACUUAUCCAAGCUAAACGGGCCGGUAGAAGCUUGUAUAAGCGAAUAUCUUGGAUAAUAAGGAGAAAUUAAGGAAAAGCCUAUUAAACAUCAAAUUAGGUUAUGAUUUUACAAAUUAAGCACCAAAACAUCAUGUUAUACAACAAAUUUGACAGAAAAUAUAGUUCAAUACGCAGUAAUGUUAUGUUGUAAUUACUGUAUUUAUGAAUUUAGCACCAAAAUAUCAUGAUAUAUUGAAAAAAUUGACUGCAAAAAUGGCUUGGAUAAUCCAGAAACUUGGAUAAGCGAGACUUUGAUAAGUGAGACUCUACUGUACUGUAAAUAUGUAACAGCAAGUUUCAUUGAAAAUAUAUAUAUACUUACAUCUUAGUAAACAUGCUGAAGACUGUACUGACAUGGUGAUAAUAGAUAUUUUAUCUUGGAUAUAUGAUUACCACAGUCAUAAUACAUAAUUUCUUACUGACCAGGCUAACCACUUGUUAAACCUAACCACUAGGUGACUGGUAAGACUAUUCAGAUUACUGAACUCUGUUUAUGCAGAGUGAACAUGAUACAAGUAAGCUAAUAGAUGUGUGUAGUAAAGUGUAUUUUUCAAAUACGUAAGAGGAAUGCUAUCUCUCAUUACCUCAGUCCUCAGAUUUAUCCAAGGGAGAAUCCAGAAACAUCUCAGAAUAAACUUCAAGUACUUCUACUUUUUUAUUGAAACAUACAGCACUCACAACAAAAAACCUGCAAUUUCUUCAAGGUCUAUAAUCAAGAUAGAACUUUGGAGAUAAGAUUACUUCUCACAAACUUCUGUCUUCUUUUUCUCCUUACCUCCACUAGUGUAAACCUCUAGCUGCCGAUUGAUGUUAGAUUUGUCCACCAGGGAGUGCAGCACAUUGAGAACACCAUGGACAUUCCAGAUUUUGGGAUUUGAACGUAGAAAAUUAAUUUCUUCCUCAGACUUCUUUGCUGUUUUACAGC